AGUGAACGCUGGCGGCAGGCCUAACACAUGCAAGUCGAACGGCAGCACAGUAAGAGCUUGCUCUUACGGGUGGCGAGUGGCGGACGGGUGAGGAAUACAUCGGAAUCUACUUUUUCGUGGGGGAUAACGUAGGGAAACUUACGCUAAUACCGCAUACGACCUACGGGUGAAAGCAGGGGAGCUUCGGACCUUGCGCGAUUGAAUGAGCCGAUGUCGGAUUAGCUAGUUGGCGGGGUAAAGGCACACCAAGGCGACGAUCCGUAGCGGGUCUGAGAGGAUGAUCAGCCACACUGGAACUGAGACACGGUCCAGACUCCUACGGGAGGCAGCAGUGGGGAAUAUUGGACAAUGGGCGCAAGCCUGAUCCAGCCAUACCGCGUGGGUGAAGAAGGCCUUCGGGUUGUAAAGCCCUUUUGUUGGGAAAGAAAAGCAGCAGGUUAAUCCCCCGCUGUUCUGACGGUACCCAAAGAAUAAGCACCGGCUAACUUCGUG
rnacentral:rRNA from 1 species